GAUGAACGCUGGCGGCGUGCUUAACACAUGCAAGUCGAACGGAAAGGCCCAAGCUUGCUUGGGUACUCGAGUGGCGAACGGGUGAGUAACACGUGGGUGAUCUGCCCUGCACUUCGGGGUAAGCCUGGGAAACUGGGUCUAAUACCGGAUAGGACCACAUUUUGGAUGGUGUGGUGGAAAGUUUUUCGGUGUGGGAUGAGCUCGCGGCCUAUCAGCUUGUUGGUGGGGUAAUGGCCUACCAAGGCGUCGACGGGUAGCCGGCCUGAGAGGGUGUACGGCCACAUUGGGACUGAGAUACGGCCCAGACUCCUACGGGAGGCAGCAGUGGGGAAUAUUGCACAAUGGGCGCAAGCCUGAUGCAGCGACGCCGCGUGGGGGAUGACGGCCUUCGGGUUGUAAACUCCUUUCGCUAGGGACGAAGCGCAAGUGACGGUACCUGGAGAAGAAGCACCGGCUAACUACGUG
rnacentral:rRNA from 1 species